UACUGCGUGGCGCAGUGAUUAACGCGUUUGCCUGCGGCUCCGAAGGUCAUGGGUUCGACCCCACGUGAGGGUAA